UCCGGUUUGUCACCGGCAGUCUCCCUAGAGUGCCCUUGCGUAGCAACUAGGGACAAGGGUUGCGCUCGUUGCGGGACUUAACCCAACAUCUCACGACACGAGCUGACGACAGCCAUGCAGCACCUGUGUUACGGCUCCCUUUCGGGCACACCCCCAUCUCUGAGGGCUUCCGUACAUGUCAAGGGUAGGUAAGGUGGGGAUGACGUGCAGGAACACCAAC
rnacentral:misc_RNA from 1 species